rnacentral:rRNA from 1 species
UACGGAGGGGACUAGCGUUGUUCGGAAUUACUGGGCGUAAAGCGCACGUAGGCGGAUUUGUAAGUCAGGGGUGAAAGCCCGGGGCUCAACCCCGGAACUGCCUUUGAUACUGCAAAUCUCGAGUCCGGAAGAGGUGAGUGGAAUUCCUAGUGUAGAGGUGAAAUUCGUAGAUAUUAGGAAGAACACCAGUGGCGAAGGCGGCUCACUGGUCCGGUACUGACGCUGAGGUGCGAAAGCGUGGGGAGCAAACGGG